rnacentral:rRNA from 1 species
AUUGAACGCUGGCGGCAGGCCUAACACAUGCAAGUCGAGCGGAUGAAGGGAGCUUGCUCCUGGAUUCAGCGGCGGACGGGUGAGUAAUGCCUAGGAAUCUGCCUGGUAGUGGGGGAUAACGUCCGGAAACGGGCGCUAAUACCGCAUACGUCCUGAGGGAGAAAGUGGGGGAUCUCCGGACCUUACGCUAUCAGAUGAGCCUAGGUCGGAUUAGCUAGUUGGUGGGGUAAAGGCCUACCAAGGCGACGAUCCGUAACUGGUCUGAGAGGAUGAUCAGUCACACUGGAACUGAGACACGGUCCAGACUCCUACGGGAGGCAGCAGUGGGGAAUAUUGGACAAUGGGCGAAAGCCUGAUCCAGCCAUGCCGCGUGUGUGAAGAAGGUCUUCGGAUUGUAAAGCACUUUAAGUUGGGAGGAAGGGCAGUAAGUUAAUACCUUGCUGUUUUGACGUUACCAACAGAAUAAGCACCGGCUAACUUCGUG